rnacentral:rRNA from 1 species
GGGUUUAUCAGUUGGUCGGGCUUCAUUGUCCGUACUGAUUUGAUGGAUUCCUACCUUCUGAAUAACUAGCAUGCUAUUAAGUUAGUGCGUUAGGGAAGCAGAUCUAUUACCUUGAAAAAAUUAGAGUGCUUAAAGCAAGCUAUUGCUUGAAUAGAUUAGCAUGGAAUAAUAAAAUAGGACGGCAUGGUUCUAUUUUGUUGGUUUCUAGGAUCACCGUA